rnacentral:rRNA from 1 species
UGGAGAGUUUGAUCCUGGCUCAGGACGAACGCUGGCGGCGUGCCUAAUACAUGCAAGUCGAGCGAGGGUCUUCGGACCCUAGCGGCGGACGGGUGAGUAACACGUAGGCAACCUGCCCAUAAGACUGGGAUAACAUAGGGAAACUUAUGCUAAUACCGGAUAGAGUCUUCUCCCGCAUGAGAGAAGACGGAAAGGUGGCGCAAGCUACCACUUGUGGAUGGGCCUGCGGCGCAUUAGCUAGUUGGUGGGGUAACGGGCUACCAA